UCUCUUACGGUCCACUGCUUUUUGCCGCCCACGGGUCCACCCAGAACACGACUGUAAUCCUGAUAUAUUGAGGUUCUGGAUCCACUCCCGUGCUGCCCACAGGUCCAGAGGCCCACAGGUCCAGCCUAUAUGUGACUGUAACCCUGAUAUGGUUCUGGAUCCACUCCCGUGCUGCCCACAGGUCCAGAGGCCCACAGGUCCAGCCUAUAUGUGACUGUAACCCUGAUAUGGUAAGGUGAGUGAUGGGGUGCUCCUGGAAGUGGGUUAUGAGUAAAUUGUAGG
rnacentral:lncRNA from 1 species